GAGAGAGGAGCCCAGCCCUGAGAUUUCCAGGUGUUUCCUUUCGGUGAUCAGCACUGAACACAGAGGACUCGCCAUGGAGUUUGGGCUGAGCUGGGUUUUCCUUGUUGCUAUUUUAAAAGGUGUCCAGUGUGAGGAGCAGCUGGUGGAGUCUGGGGGAGGCUUGGUACAGCCUGGGGCGUCCCUGAGACUCUCCUGUGCAGCCUCUGGAUUCACCUUCAGUAGCUAUGACAUGCACUGGGUUCGCCAGGCUCCAGGGAAAGGUCUGGAGUGGGUCUCAGCUAUUAGCAUUGGUGGAGGCACAUACUACCCAGACUCUGUGAAGGGUCGAUUCACCGUCUCCAGAGACAAUGCCAAGAACUCCUUGUAUCUUCAAAUGAACAGCCUGAGAGCUGAGGACACUGCUGUGUAUUACUGUGCAAGAGACACUGUGAGGGGAAGUCAGUGUGAGCCCAGACACAAACCUCCCUGCAGGGACACUGGAGGAAAUCAGCUGCAGGGGGCGCUCAGGACCCACUGA